rnacentral:lncRNA from 1 species
UAGCUUAAAAAAUUAACUUUCCCAAAACGCAUAUAACAAUUCUUUCGAUCUGGGUCAAGAUUAUUGUAACUUGAUCAAGUACUAAUUGAGAACUUCAAUCCCAGUAAAGAUUUUCCUUCUUUUUGUUGCCAUUUCUCUAUUUUUAGUUUUUAUAACAUCUCAAUCCCCCACUGGAAAAAUGUUUUAUUUUUAUUUUGAUAUUGAAGAUGAAAAAACAGAGAUAAAAGCAAAAAAUAUUUCACUAACCAUGUCAUGAAUUGCAAUACCUUUCCACCCAGAUUGAGAAAAUAUAAUACAAAAGUACAAAUCUUUGGCAUACCAACUCGCCUAUGUGACCCUUUUAACUUUCCUAUCCAACAAAAGCAUGUGUGUGAAAUUUUUCCAAUACAACAAGAAUUGUUCAUUCAACAGGAAACUGUACACACGAAAAUAACAUGCAGCUGUUUCUGUUGUCAUUGAACAGAUGAUCACCAAAAACUAAAACAAGAUUGUGAAACAUAUUUAUAAUUUCAAGAUCGGAUGAUCCAUCUUGCUGUUUGCAUAGAUAAUUAAACACCCUAAGAAAUUAAAGCCUUGUUGUUGAUGGUGAAGUUGAACUAGAACACUUUGAAGAAGAAGAAGAAGGAUGAUGGUUUUGAUUUUUGCUACCUCUUGAAGGAUUUGCAGCCGCUUGACGUGGAUCAGUAGAUGUAAACCUACUGGAAUUGCUUCUUAGCUUCUUCUUCUCAUAAACCCCAUCUUCAGCUCUAAUGUGCCGAACCUUUGUCUCAUUCAAACCUGCAGGAAGAACACAGUUGCAGAACAAGCCUGCAAGGUUCAUCAGAUACAGCGUGGUUAUUCAAAGAGAUUAAAAAGGAUUUGUAAUUUUGGUGACAAAAUCUAUAAACCACAUAAAUUAAGGCGAAAUCCCAGAAGUUCAGUGGGAAAAAUCCCCGACCAUUCAUUGCCACUGGUGUUAUCUACACAUGAAAUAUAGAAAUGAAAUCCACAAAGCAGUAUGAGUUCUGUAGAGACCUUUAUGGUUCAACAACAAAAAAUUAGACAUUGAUCCUAAGAAAUUUGGAGUCGACAUUAUGAAUAGUUGAAUACUAAUUCAUCAGUCCGUAUGGUUCAUUGAUAGAUCUUUUGGGAGAUCACCUUUAUGAUUUAAAACCCCAGAAAUCAAUUAUGCCUUUUGAGACAGAUAGGUUAGCAAAUCAAGUGAUCCAAGUUGAUCAGAUCCAGAUUUUGUAAGAGAUAACCUAAACUUAAGUAUUUUUUGGAUCAGAAGGACCACAUACUGACCUACAUAAAUGAUAACCCAAGGACCACCUAAUAGUGUGUCGAUCAAUACAUCUUUGGAAGCAAUAUGCACAUCAAUCAAAGUGCCCAGAUCAACAAU